rnacentral:pre_miRNA from 1 species
UUAACUCAAAUUUGUAAUGAGUUGGAACGUUUGCUUACGUUUGCCGCUAGGGGCGCUGUUCCAACUGCAUACUUUUACGCUG